CAACCACAAGGGGACACAAUCCAGUGUCCUCUUGUGCCAGUCCCAAGUCUGGGUAAAUGCAGAGGGGCAUGUGAGAGGAGCAAUUAGCAGGGGCAGGGACAAAAUAACACUGUGUUUUGAUGUUCCCGAUGCUUCAUGAAAGGAAACAAAUAAAGAAAGAUUACAUAUCAGCACCCCCUUUCACAGUAUGAGCCAGCAGGAUUCCAUUACAUGCCCGGAUUGGCGUACCUAGAUCCCUGCUCUGGACCUGACUACCUGGUGGGCGGGACCCUACCCCCCCAGGUCCCCCAGUCCUACUGACACACCUCCCCUUGAAGAAAAAGAGGCUAAGGACUGACCAUCAUCCAUGCUGAACUUACAAAGGUGGUCAAAGAGCUCAAGGCACUGGGACUGCUUGCUUGAAAAGGAGUGGGAAAAAGCAAAUCUAUACAAUCCCAGCCCUACUUAGUCAUUUCAUUUCACAGUUUAGUAACAGGGCCGGAUCUAGUCACUCAUUGGCUUAAGCAUAACAAAACGAUAUGACUUAGGAUAAGAAGAUAUUAGGAAUCUGGGUGUCGUUAACAAAAACCUCUGUUGUCAAGGAAAUUCUGAUAUGUUAAUUUUACUGAUUCUUCUAAAAAUCAGCCCCAGGUCACCAAAAAAUUUUUUUUUUAUUUCACAGCCAAACUUUUCUAGUUUUGAUCAAGACAAAAUGUUUUCAGUUUUCUUGCAUUUGGUAAAUUAGUAUCAGACUGUGAUUUUCCUGUUGUCUUUUAAAGGUUAAGAAAUAAUACACAAAUAAACAUUAAACAGGAUUUGAGUUUGGAACAAACUGAAUUGUGAGUCUGUUUAAGAGCCGUGCUUUCCUUUUCCUCAGGUACUACACCGACAUCCGUCAGACCAUCUCUGCCAGCGAUCAGGAGAUGAACUCGGCUCUGGCAGAGCUCUCUCGGAAUUAUGCACCAGAGGUCAACUGUCUUGUGACGUUACAAUGAACUCUACAAGUAUAUCAACAAAUACUACGAUCAGGUCAGUAUUUGUCUGUUCUUCAUGACAGAGACAGAGGAAAAACAUUAAAACUCUUCCCCUUAAAUAGAGUUGUACAAGCGCAGAAACAAGCUGAUUAAAAAAAAAAA